CUGGAUGGGAGGCAGGGGGGAAGCAGCAGGCAGGGGCCUUCAGGCAAGAACUGCAGGGCAGGCGAGUUGCAUGCAAAGAGCUGAGGAGCAGGAGUGGGCUAUAGGUAGGAGACCUGCCUGCUGGGAAUGCAUGAUCAGGGCAUGGUUUUUGGGUGGUUGUUUUUUUAUGAUGGAAAAUUAGGGUUUCCCUUUCAAGGGAUUGUUUUCUCCCCUUCAAAAAGUAUGUAGUGAUAGAAGGCACAGGUUGUUUGUUAUUAAGCUAGCCCCAAGCAGGUGUGUUAGAUUUUCUCAAAACUAGUUUCUCGAUUAUUUCUAGGUGUUUCAAAGGGGAAACUGAGGAAGGGCUGCUAUAGCGCCAACUUUCAGAGCAGCAGCUGUGUUAGUCUGUAUUCGCAAAAAGAACAGGAGGACUUGUGGCACCUUAGAGACGAACAAAUUUAUUUGAGCAUGAGCUUUCGUGAGCUACAGCUCACUUCAUCUGAUGCAUUCAGUGGAAAAUACAGUGGGGAGAUUUAUAUACAUAGUGAACAUGAAACAAUGGGUGUUACCAUACACACUGUAAGGAGAGUCAUCACUUAAGAGUUUCCAGCCCACCUCUGUACUUUAUCACACUGAAAUCUGCAGCAUCUCUAGCAUGGAAUUGUAUAUUGAGCGUGGAGUGAGUGCAAAUGGCCAAUGAGUUGGGCAGACUCUGUGGGAGGAGGUAUUGUUUCAUAUUCUCUGUGUGUAUAUAAAGUCUGCUGCAGUUUCCACGGUAAACAUCUGAUGAAGUGAGCUGUAGCUCACGAAAGCUCAUGCUCAAAUAAAUUGGUUAGUCUCUAAGGUGCCACAAGUACUCCUUUUCUUUCUGUGAAUCAAGAGUCGCAUCUGAGUUACAAUGGCGUAAAACUGGGAGGCUCUGAGGGCUGGUUCCAGGCCCACCCUUCUGCUGAAGAUAAGAAAACAACUGGCCUCCUUCAUAACAGUCCUAACAGAGAGACAAGAAAUGAAGAGGCUACGGAGAUGAGCUCAUCUCUCAGCCCUUGAGGUAGCACUUUCUUUCAAAUGCUUGGAUGGCUCAGGAAAACGAAAAUGGAUUUUUACCAAAUUUUCCUCCCACAAAAUAUACAUUUUCAGGUUGAAAAAAGGAAUGCUAAUUUGUAGGAUUAAUUAUUAUAUACUAAUUAGUAUUGUUAUCAUUAUUCCUAAUAAUAAUAUGUCUUUACUGAUUUAAAAACAAAGAUACAAACUUAAGCAUUAAAUAGCAACUACAUGACAAGAAAAUCCUCUCACCACUCUACACCUCCUUACCAAUCCCAUCUUCCUUUCCCUAUCACAUCUGAAUCAUGAGAAAUUCAACACAGAUCUAUGUACCUAUCUCAAGGAAAAACCAAUGGUUCUUCUCAUAGCUCUGGACAGGAUAUAUUUCCCAGCAGUGAUUAAUGCAGCCACUUUAAAGCUUCUCUGCCACUUAGUGGUUACAAAAAGCAUUACUUUCUUUCUCGGCACUGUGCUGAGAUCGGCUCUGUUUGCAUACAGAGUUUGUACAGGGAUGAUGGUAAUCUCAGUUCUAGUCAGGAGCAGAGCUGUGUCACUCUUUCCAAGAAAUAUUUAAUGUAAGAAUUCCCCCCGCAUAAUUCUGACAAAAUGCUGAUGCCCCGAUGGCUCUUUGAAGGGAAUAAAUCCCCAUCUGUCGAAAUAUUUACCCCCGGGUUAAACUAAAAAUGUCUAAAUCCAGUUGACAACAUUCCAUUUCACAGUGCAGAUACUUGGGACAGAUGUUCACAUUUGAAUGGAAAAGAGAAGCUUAGCCUGUGGCUUCUAUUCCUGGAUGAAACUGACUCUGUGUGAGCCGUGGCAAGUCACUCCAGCUCUCGGAGCCUUAGUUUUCCCCUUGCAAGUGGGGAUAACAACACCUGCCUAUGUCACAAGUUGGUCAUGUAGGCCAAAAUUCUCAACAUUGAGCACCUACAUCCAUGUUAAGGCGAUGGACAGGGACCCAGGCCACCUGGGUUCUAUUCCUGGUUCUGCCGCUGAUCUUCUG